AAGAUCUAAUCGCUGGAAGAGUCUUUUGUGUGAACAUUUAUUAAAAAAAUGGAAAAGAAUUAAUAAAUAAAUCAAAUUAAUAUAAACAGAUCAAUUGAAUGCAGUGGUCCAAAUUUUAGCGGAUCAAACUGUUUUAAUAAAGCAGCUGGUAAAGGAGAAGGGGGAAUUGAAUCCCAUUCGGGAACAGUUCCCUAUAAAACGUGAGGAAGAACUUAUAGAACUGGAAGAAAAAAUAAAAUUAAAUAGAGACAUUUAUAUAACAGCAAUGAAAUCAAUUCUCCAGUGCCAAAAACCAGGAGUAGGCUAAGCAUCAUAUAAUUAAAAAUUAUUCGUUAUAAUGAAA